UACGUAGGGGGUGAGCGUUGUCCGGAUUUAUUGGGCGUAAAGAGCUCGUAGGCGGCUGGGCAAGUCGGGUGUGAAAACUCCAGGCUCAACUUGGAGACGCCACUUGAUACUGCCCUGGCUUGAGUCCGGUAGGGGAGCGCGGAAUUCCUGGUGUAGCAGUGAAAUGCGCAGAGAUCAGGAGGAACACCGGUGGCGAAGGCGGCGCUCUGGGCCGGUACUGACGCUGAGGAGCGAAAGCGUGGGGAGCGAACAGG
rnacentral:rRNA from 1 species